UAACACGGACCAAGAAGUCCAACAUGUACCGCGAGUCAUUGGGCGUUACGAAACCCAAAGGCGCAGUGAAAGUAAAGGCUGACCUAUGUUGGCUUAGGUGUGAUCCGGUUCCGGUUUUUCCGGUCCGGCGCAACACCGGCCCGUCCCAUGGUGUGCUACACCGGGGCGGAGCAAGAGCGUACAUGUUGGGACCCGAAAGAUGGUGAACUAUGCUUGCGCAGGAUGAAGCCAGGGGAAACUCUGGUGAAAGUCCGUAGCGGUUCUGACGUGCAAAUCGAUCGUCAGACGUGAGUAUAGGGGCGAAAGACUAAUCGAACCAUCUAGUAGCUGGUUCCCUCCGAAGUUUCCCUCAGGAUAGCUGGCGCUCGAGUAAAUCAGUUUUAUCCGGUAAAGCGAAUGAUUAGAGGUACUGGGGCCGAAAUGGUUUCAACCUAUUCUCAAACUUUAAAUGGGUGAGAUGUCUUGUCUCUCUUAAUUGGAGAUGGACUUUGAAUGAGAGUGCCUAGUGGGCAUUUUGGUAAGCAGAACUGGCGCUGUGGGAUGAACCACACGUCUGGUUAAGGUGCCUAACAUAUCGCUCAUCAGAUACCACACAAGGUGUUGGUUGGUCCAGACAGCAGGACGGUGGCCAUGGAAGUUGGAAUCCGCUAAGGAGUGUGUAACAACUCACCUGCCGAAUCAACCAGCCCUGUAAAUGGAUGGCGCUGGAGCGAUGGACCUAUACCGGACCGAUACCGCAAGCCAGUCCAAGGAARCGGUGUCGAGUAGGAGGGUCKCCGUGGUGAGCGUAGAAGCUGUCKCCGUGAGGCGAGGUGGAGCCGCCACGGGUGCAGAUCUUGGUGGUAGUAGCACAUAUUCAAG
rnacentral:rRNA from 1 species